UGGGGAAUAUUGCACAAUGGGCGCAAGCCUGAUGCAGCAACGCCGCGUGAACGAUGAAGGUCUUCGGAUCGUAAAGUUCUGUUGCAGGGGAAGAUAAUGACGGUACCCUGUGAGGAAGCCCCGGCUAACUACGUGCCAGCAGCCGCGGUAAUACGUAGGGGGCUAGCGUUAUCCGGAUUUACUGGGCGUAAAGGGUGCGUAGGUGGUCUUUCAAGUCGGUGGUUAAAGGCUACGGCUCAACCGUAGUUAGCCUCCGAAACUGGAAGACUUGAGUGCAGGAGAGGAAAGUGGAAUUCCCAGUGUAGCGGUGAAAUGCGUAGAUAUUGGGAGGAACACCAGUAGCGAAGGCGGCUUUCUGGACUGCAACUGACACUAAGGCACGAAAGCGUGGGUAGCAAACAGG
rnacentral:rRNA from 1 species